UGUGUGUAUGUGUCUACAAGUAUGUUUACAUGCACACCAAUAGUCCACUUUUAUUCAGAAUAUGACAAUAUUACGAAUUUGAUACAUGUCAUGAAUAUAGCAUUUUCUGAUUAAGACGUGGGUUAUUCCGGUAUUACUUGGGUUUUAGAGGCAUUCUUUGGACAUGUAUAGAGCGCAUUCAGAAUAUGCUUCCCAU